AUUGAACGCUGGCGGCAUGCCUUACACAUGCAAGUCGAACGGCAGCACGGGAGCAAUCCUGGUGGCGAGUGGCGAACGGGUGAGUAAAGUAUCGGAACGUGCCCAGUCGUGGGGGAUAACGUAGCGAAAGUUACGCUAAUACCGCAUACGCUCUAUGGAUGAAAGCGGGGGAUCGCAAGACAUCGCGCGAUUGGAGCGGCCGAAAUCAGAUUAGGUAGUUGGUGGGGUAAAGGCUGACCAAGCCGACGAUGUGUAGCUGGUCUGAGAGGACGACCAGCCACACUGGGACUGAGACACGGCCCAGACUCCUACGGGAGGCAGCAGUGGGGAAUUUUGGACAAUGGGCGAAAGCCUGAUCCAGCCAUGCCGCGUGCAGGAUGAAGGCCUUCGGGUUGUAAACUGCUUUUGUACGGAACGAAAAGGUUUGGCCUAAUAAGCUGAGCUCAUGACGGUACCGUAAGAAUAAGCACCGGCUAACUACGUGCCAGCCGCCGCAGUAA
rnacentral:rRNA from 1 species